rnacentral:miRNA from 1 species
UCACAGUGAACCGGUCUCUUUG